rnacentral:rRNA from 1 species
AGUGAACGCUGGCGGUAGGCCUAACACAUGCCAGUCGAACGGCAGCACAGUAAGAGCUUGCUCUUACGGGUGGCGAGUGGCGGACGGGUGAGGAAUACAUCGGAAUCUACUUUUUCGUGGGGGAUAACGUAGGGAAACUUACGCUAAUUCCGCAUACGACCUACGGGUGAAAGCAGGGGAUCUUCGGACCUUGCGCGAUUGAAUGAGCCGAUGUCGGAUUAGCUAGUUGGCGGGGUAAAGGCCCACCAAGGCGACGAUCCGUAGCUGGUCUGAGAGGAUGAUCAGCCACACUGGAACUGAGACACGGUCCAGACUCCUACGGGAGGCAGCAGUGGGGAAUAUUGGACAAUGGGCGCAAGCCUGAUCCAGCCAUACCGCGUGGGUGAAGAAGGCCUUCGGGUUGUAAAGCCCUUUUGUUGGGAAAGAAAAGCAGCAGGUUAAUACCCCGCUGUUCUGACGGUACCCAAAGAAUAAGCACCGGCUAACUUCGCG